rnacentral:rRNA from 1 species
GACGAACGCUGGCGGCGUGCUUAACACAUGCAAGUCGAACGGAAAGGCCCUGCUUUUGUGGGGUGCUCGAGUGGCGAACGGGUGAGUAACACGUGAGUAACCUGCCCUUGACUUUGGGAUAACUUCAGGAAACUGGGGCUAAUACCGGAUAGGAGCUCCUGCUGCAUGGUGGGGGUUGGAAAGUUUCGGCGGUUGGGGAUGGACUCGCGGCUUAUCAGCUUGUUGGUGGGGUAGUGGCUUACCAAGGCUUUGACGGGUAGCCGGCCUGAGAGGGUGACCGGCCACAGUGGGACUGAGAUACGGCCCAGACUGCUACGGGAGGCAGCAGUUGGGAAUAUUGCACAAUGGGCUGAAGCCUGAGGCAGCAACGCCGCGUGCGGGAUGACGGCCUUCGGGUUGUAAACCGCUUUCGCCUGUGACGAAGCGUGAGUGACGGUAAUGGGUAAAGAAGCACCGGCUAACUACGUG